GGGAUUCCUGGCAGAGUGAUUUGGUUGUGAUGUAAUAUAAAUCACAUUGCCAGGGAUUUCCA
ensembl:miRNA